rnacentral:misc_RNA from 1 species
GGCAGUAUAUCCAUCUCGUUCCAAAGUUCAAAAGAUAUAGAAGAUGUUAAAGAGGUAAUACUGCCGCUGUUGGUGCUUGCAAUUUGACUGGUGUCAUGAGUUCGCAGGUCCACCUCUCUACAAUCUGCUGAAAAAAAGCAGCGACCGAAGGAAAAGGCAGUCAGGGUUCCUAGAAUUCCCAUGGAAUAAAAAGGGUAGACCAUAACGUUGAAGUAUUAUUCAAUAAGAACUCACUGGAUAAGCUGAUCUUGACAUAAAGCAAAGAGCGCCAAGCCACUAUCAAUUAGACAUAGUUCACUUUUUGCCUUAAAGCCAUGGAUUCUAGCUUGCAAGCAGCCACUUCUUGAACAUCAAGAGGAUCUAUACUCUUGCUUAUUCCAAAUGCUAGAUG